GCGUGCAAGCAGGAAGGGGCAGGGAUCUCUCAGGCAACAGGAAGCCUCCCUUCCCAGCUGAGGGAUCCCCACCCCGAUCCUACUUGCACGCAAGUAGGAAUGGGAUUGGGACUGCUCCAUUGGGAAGGAAGGCAUCACGCUGCCUAACUGAGAGAUCCCUGCCCCUUCCUGCUUGCACGC